rnacentral:tRNA from 2 species
GCGCCUAUGGUGAAAUGGAUAUCAUACCUGCCUUCGAAGCAGAUGUUCCAGGUUCGAAUCCUGGUAGGCGCA